AGCUGAUAUCUCAUCCGUUUCAGAACCAAAUCGUGUUCCGUUUGAUUCUGGAGAUUAUAGACUCAGUCCUCUACAAGUCCGAGCUUAGUUUUUACACAAAGCCGUUUCUCGAUUGAAUUCAGUUCCGUUUCCUUCUCGUGAUAGAAGACUCUUUCCUCUACAACUUUGCAUUUUGAAUUUCACCAAACGACUCUUCGACUACUCGCGCUCAGGAGUCGAACCAGGGUUAGCUGUUUGCCAAGAUCAUGUGGAUAAGCAAGCAGUUUAUGAUUUGAAAGCUGGUCCACUCCGAUUCUUUUGAUUCUUCGGAGGUUUUUAUGAUAUUUAAACUAGUUACUGUUUUCGAACUUUUAGACCGCAGUAGAACUAGUUAUUAUAAAUUACAUUUGAUAUUACACUUUGGGAUUAUCGAUUUGAUCAAUUAUUUAUUAUUGGCAUGUUUACUCUGGAUUACAUUAUUAUUAUAUAUAAGACAUGUCGUUUAACAUUU